rnacentral:tRNA from 1 species
UGGGCUGUGGCUCAGUGGUGGAGCAUUUGCUUCCAAUGUGCUAGGCCCUGGGUUCAAUUCUCAGCACCACAU